AACUCCGGCUUCACAACUAUCUCCAUAUAACAGAAGUCUCCUAUCCCUGGCAUUAUUUCAAUAAAUCUUCUCUGCACCCUCUCCAGGAUUGUGACAAAUUUUGUGAACUCUCUUGUUGACAAGCCAAGUAUUCACAUUUAAACAGUGCCUUUAAGCAAGAGGAAUUCUCGGUUAUUCAGUCAUCCUGGCAACAUCAUUUAAAAUCAUGCCUUUGUCUUUAUACCUCACUGCUCCACAGCCUACCACUCUCAGAAAAUACUGUGUGAGGCCUUCAGCCACUGGCUAAUUUCCAGAAACUACCAGACAUAAGAACUUCACUCCUGCUCGAAAUAAUUGAUGCAACAACAAAAGGAACAUUGCAGCCUGUUCAGAGGAGCAGGAGUUAUUUCUUACAGUCACAGGAUCUUACUCUAC